GGAAUCCCUCCGCGCCGGCCCGGCCGGAUCUCGCCGAGGGGCGGGGAUGGUGCUGGAGCGCCGGCGGCGUGGCCGAAGGAAGGAAGGAAGGAUUUCUCCCGAUGCCGGACCGCGGCCGUGCCGCGGGGCUCUCCCGGCCGGCGGGCCCAGAGCAGAGAGGGGACUAUUUCCCGGCGGCGGCGCAGGGAUCCCGGCGGGCAGGUGUCGCCGCCGCCGGUGGUGCCGCGGAGGGGCAGGUGUUCCUACUCAGCCCUUUCAGUAUCAUUGUUUCAUUUCUCUUCAUCUAAUCUAAAUAUCUGGUGAGCAAAAAGUAAAGAAGUUCUGUGUCUGGUUGAUUAUGAUGACAUGCUGUGGGAAAAACCUGAGUGUAGCUGACUUAAUCUUGUGUUACAUGGGCAACUCAGGACAACAGGUCACUUCAGAAAGUCAGUUUACAGAUAUCAUUUAACCACUUAUAUUUUUGCAUACCCUCUUUAAAGGAAAUUUUGGUAAUAGCUGGCAGUAUGUCUUUGAAUCAGAGCAUUGACAUUCAGUAUUGUCAGUGAAGAUUCUCAGACUGUGUAUGAAGAUCUUGUAUACAUGGCUGAAAUGGUAGCAUCUCUUUACAAAUAAUUUGGGUUUAGGACCAGUUGUUUCCCACAGAAGGGAAAAGAGAUAUUGUCAUUGUUUUGGUAAGCUAGUGUGCUUUUAGCUUCAAGCUAUGUCCUGUUUCCCUUUUGCACAUGAUUACCUAAACUACUUUACAUAGGACUGUUCAGCAGAAAGCAGAGGUCACCUAAUUGAUAGUUAAAGCUGUUGAACUUCUGUAAGAAAUGUAGUUUGGUUCUCCUGCAUGGUGUUUGCAUUUUUGUGCAUUUGUAUGUUGUGGUUUGGGAGGGGUUUUGUUUAUUUUUUUUAAAUGCAAAGCAAGUGCUUUGAUUCCAUGCAGCUGGGAAAACUGAUAAACUUAUGCUUUACUCUUUCUUGUUAGGUUGUCUGUCCCUGUGCUAACUUGAAGAGGUGACCAUUUGCUGUGAGUUAAUGAUGUUUAUGAUCUCUCCUCCUUUUCCUUCUAUGAAGAAACAUCACAAAAGGAAUGCACUGUGCAAGAUUUUCUCCUUGCAGUUAAUAGUACCAAGCCCAUUUUUGUUGAGAAAAAUGUUCUUUAAAACAUACUAGAAUAAAUAAAAAUAAAAAUGCUCUGCAAUGUUA